rnacentral:rRNA from 1 species
CAGUCGCCGCGGUAAUACGUAGGUGGCAAGCGUUGUCCGGAAUUAUUGGGCGUAAAGGGCUCGCAGGCGGUUUCUUAAGUCUGAUGUGAAAGCCCCCGGCUCAACCGGGGAGGGUCAUUGGAAACUGGGAAACUUGAGUGCAGAAGAGGAGAGUGGAAUUCCACGUGUAGCGGUGAAAUGCGUAGAGAUGUGGAGGAACACCAGUGGCGAAGGUGACUCUCUGGGCUGUAACUGACGCUGAGGAGCGGAAGCGUGGGGGGCGAACAGGAUUAGAUACCCGCGUAGUCCCUGUCUCUUAUAC